rnacentral:rRNA from 1 species
UACGUAGGGGGCGAGCGUUGUCCGGAUUCAUUGGGCGUAAAGAGCUCGUAGGCGGCUUCGUAAGUCAGGUGUGAAACCUCCAGGCUCAACCUGGAGCCGCCACCUGAUACUGCGAUGGCUUGAGUCCAGUAGGGGCGCGCGGAAUUCCUGGUGUAGCGGUGAAAUGCGCAGAUAUCGUUUGGAACGCCAAUGGUGAAAACAGGUUGCUGGGGGUGUGCUGACGCUGAGACACGAAAGCCAGGGGAGCAAACGGG